rnacentral:RNase_P_RNA from 1 species
GUGGCGGGCGCGAUGAUCGCCGCGGCGCCCGUGGUGGUUGGGUGAAAUCGAGAUAGCAAUCAAUCGGUAACGCCGGCCAGCCGGGGACGUGCCGCGGAGGAAAGUCCGGACUCCAAAGGGUGCGGUGGUGGGUAACGCCCACCGUCAGAGUUCACUUUAUGUGGCUCCGAUAGGGACAGUGCAACAGAGAAUAGACCGCCUUGAAUACGCCGCGAUCCGCGACGGGUUCGAGGUAAGGGUGAAACGGUGAGGUAAGAGCUCACCAGCAGGUCGGGUGACCGACCUGGCUCGGCAAACCCCACCGGGAGCAAGACCAAAUAGGGGGGCAACGCGGCACGGCAAGGUGGGAUCGAGUACGGCCGGGUAACCGGCGCUCACUCCCCUGCCCUGACCGCCGCGUACGGGUCGGCCCGACCCGUUAUCGACUUCCGGGUAGGUCGCUCGAGGCACCGGGAAACCGGUGGCCCAGAGAAAUGAUCAUCCGAGGCCAGGCCAGGCGGCAAACCCGCCCGGGUAGACCUCGACAGAAUCCGGCUUAGGCCGCCCGCCACGAGC